UACGGAGGGUGCAAGCGUUGUUCGGAAUUACUGGGCGUAAAGGGCGUGUAGGCGGCUUGGCAAGUCAGAUGUGAAAGCCCUGGGCUUAACCCAGGAAGUGCAUUUGAAACUGCCAGGCUAGAGUAUGGGAGAGGGGAGUGGAAUUCCCAGUGUAGAGGUGAAAUUCGUAGAUAUUGGGAGGAACACCAGUGGCGAAGGCGGCCACCUGGACGGUGACUGACGCUGAGACGCGAAAGCGUGGGGAGCAAACAGG
rnacentral:rRNA from 1 species